rnacentral:rRNA from 1 species
GAGAGUGGAAUUCCACGUGUAGCGGUGAAAUGCGUAGAGAUGUGGAGGAACACCAGUGGCGAAGGCGACUCUCUGGUCUGUAACUGACGCUGAGGAGCGAAAGCGUGGGGAGCGAACAGGAUUAGAUACCCUGGUAGUCCACGCCGUAAACGAUGAGUGCUAAGUGUUAGGGGGUUUCCGCCCCUUAGUGCUGCAGCUAACGCAUUAAGCACUCCGCCUGGGGAGUACGGUCGCAAGACUGAAACUCAAAGGAAUUGACGGGGGCCCGCACAAGCGGUGGAGCAUGUGGUUUAAUUCGAAGCAACGCGAAGAACCUUACCAGGUCUUGACAUCCUCUGACAAUCCUAGAGAUAGGACGUCCCCUUCGGGGGCAGAGUGACAGGUGGUGCAUGGUUGUCGUCAGCUCGUGUCGUGAGAUGUUGGGUUAAGUCCCGCAACGAGCGCAACCCUUGAUCUUAGUUGCCAGCAUUCAGUUGGGCACUNUAAGGUGACUGCCGGUGACAAACCGGAGGAAGGUGGGGAUGACGUCAAAUCAUCAUGCCCCUUAUGACCUGGGCUACACACGUGCUACAAUGGACAGAACAAAGGGCAGCGAAACCGCG